rnacentral:rRNA from 1 species
UGGGGAAUCUUGGACAAUGGGCGCAAGCCUGAUCCAGCCAUGCCGCGUGAGUGACGAAGGCCUUAGGGUUGUAAAACUCUUUCGUCGGGGACGAUAAUGACGGUACCCGAAGAAGAAGCUCCGGCUAACUUCGUGCCAGCAGCCGCGGUAAUACGUAGGGACCAAGCGUUGUUCGGAUUUACUGGGCGUAAAGGGCGCGUAGGCGGCAUGACAAGUCACUUGUGAAAUCUCUGGGCUUAACCCAGAACGGCCAAGUGAUACUGUCGCGCUAGAGUGCAGAAGGGGCAAUCGGAAUUCUUGGUGUAGCGGUGAAAUGCGUAGACAUCAAGAGGAACACCUGAGGUGAAGACGGGUUGCUGGGCUGACACUGACGCUGAGGCGCGAAAGCCAGGGGAGCAAACGGGAUUAGAUACCCUUGUAGUCCCUGAGCGGGCUGGCAAGGCGCAU